CCUACGGGAGGCAGCAGUGGGGAAUCUUGCGCAAUGGACGAAAGUCUGACGCAGCCAUGCCGCGUGAGUGAUGAAGGUCUUAGGAUUGUAAAGCUCUUUCGCUCGCGACGAUGAUGACGGUAGCGAGAGAAGAAGCCCCGGCUAACUUCGUGCCAGCAGCCGCGGUGAUACGAAGGGGGCUAGCGUUGUUCGGAAUUACUGGGCGUAAAGCGUGCGCAGGCGGUUUUUUAAGCCAGAGGUGAAAUCCCGGAGCUCAACUUCGGAAUGGCCUUUGGAACUGGAAAGCUUGAGAACGGUAGAGGUGAGUGGAAUUCCCAGUGUAGAGGUGAAAUUCGUAGAUAUUGGGAAGAACACCGGUGGCGAAGGCGGCUCACUGGACCGUUUCUGACGCUCAGGCACGAAAGCGUGGGGAGCAAACAGGAUUAGAUACCCUGGUAGUCCACGCCUUAAACGAUGGAUGCUAGCCGUUGUGNGNNNGCUCUCNGUGCGCNGCUACGCGUGAGCGACUCCGCCGUGGGAGGUACGGCCGGCGAACGGUUAAACGUUAAAGUAGUUAAGUUAGUACGGCGUUGAGACGUUGCCGACGGACGACGACGAGGGAGAGG
rnacentral:rRNA from 1 species